rnacentral:rRNA from 1 species
AUGAAGACAUCUAAGACGGUGUCCAUGUGCACCCCAGCAGAGGAGACUCGAGGCAUACAUGUGUUUGAUAUCUUGGGUUACAGCAAGCACAGGGGCAUGGGCCACGACCUCGACAGUCACAUACGGUCCGGAAUUUUCUCCGUCGAUGGCCACGACUGGGAAAUCAACUUCUACCCUGACGGGUUUAAUGGAUUUGGCCCGUUUAAUGGACAUGGGGAAGAUUACAUCUCAGUUUUUCUCGUGCUUUUGAGCAAGAACACUAAAGUCCGGGCAUCCUGCGACAUGAGGCUGGUUGAUCAGUACACUGGAUUCUCAUCUUCAAUGCAUAAAACAGAACCAAGGUUUUUCGAUUCUUGUGAUGUUACUAUCAUGGCUCCACAUACUCCUAUUUUCAUAAGGCGAAGCGAGAUCGAGGGAUCCGUCUACCUUAGGGAUGACCGCCUGACGAUCGAAUGCAUCGUAACUGUUUUCAAGAUGCCACAUGUUACUCAAACCAAAUCAUUCCCUAAAAUCGACAUGCCACAAGCUGACAUGACUGAGCAUGUUAGCAAGCUGCUUGAAGAAAAGAAGGGAUUUGAUGUCUGUUUCAUUGUCGGAGGAGAGACCAUCGAAGCACAUAGGUUUGUUCUCGCUAUGAGGUCGCCUGUUUUUAAAGCAGAGCUCUAUGGGUCAAUGCAUGAGGCGAGGCUGGGGCAGUGCAUAACCAUCAAGGACAUGCAACCUGCCGUUUUCAAGGCCCUGCUCCAUUUCAUCUAUACGGACUAUGUGCCUAGCGGCGAGGAUACAGAGAUGAUCCGGCUCUUACUAGUGGCCGCGGACAGAUAUGCAAUGGAUAGGCUCAAGCUGGUUUGCCAAAGCAUCCUUUGCGAUGAUCUGAAUGUGGACACCGUCGCAACCACAUUGGCUUUAGCUGACCAACAUAACUGCCACCAACUUAAGGAUGCUUGCCUCGAAUUUAUCGAAUUAUCAAAUUUCAUGGAUGCUGUGGUGGCAACCCAACGCUUAAAGGAUCUCAAGGCGACUUGCCCAUCUUUCAUAGUGGAUGAACUGGUGAAGAGAAGAAAGUUUUCAUGA